rnacentral:rRNA from 1 species
CCAGUAAACGGCGGCCGUAACUAUAACGGUCCUAAGGUAGCGAAAUUCCUUGUCGGGUAAGUUCCGACCUGCACGAAUGGCGUAAUGAUGGCCAGGCUGUCUCCACCCGAGACUCAGUGAAAUUGAACUCGCUGUGAAGAUGCAGUGUACCCGCGGCAAGACGGAAAGACCCCGUGAACCUUUACUAUAGCUUGACACUGAACAUUGAGCCUUGAUGUGUAGGAUAGGUGGGAGGCUUUGAAGUGUGGACGCCAGUCUGCAUGGAGCCAACCUUGAAAUACCACCCUUUAACGUUUGAUGUUCUAACCUAGGCCCAUAAACUGGGUCGGGGACCGUGUCUGGUGGGUAGUUUGACUGGGGCGGUCUCCUCCUAAAGAGUAACGGAGGAGCACGAAGGUUGGCUAAGCAUGGUCGGACAUCAUGCGGUUAGUGCAAAGGCAUAAGCCAGCUUGACUGCGAGAGUGACGGCUCGAGCAGGUACGAAAGUAGGUCUUAGUGAUCCGGUGGUUCUGAAUGGAAGGGCCAUCGCUCAACGGAUAAAAGGUACUCCGGGGAUAACAGGCUGAUACCGCCCAAGAGUUCAUAUCGACGGCGGUGUUUGGCACCUCGAUGUCGGCUCAUCACAUCCUGGGGCUGAAGUAGGUCCCAAGGGUAUGGCUGUUCGCCAUUUAAAGUGGUACGCGAGCUGGGUUUAGAACGUCGUGAGACAGUUCGGUCCCUAUCUGCCGUGGGCGUUGGAAGAUUGAGAGGGGUUGCUCCUAGUACGAGAGGACCGGAGUGAACGCACCACUGGUGUUCGGGUUGUCAUGCCAAUGGCAUUGCCCGGUAGCUAAGUGCGGAAGAGAUAACCGCUGAAAGCAUCUAAGCGGGAAACUUGCCUCGAGAUGAGUCUUCCCUGUCGCUUUAAGCGACCUAAAGGAACGUUUAAGACUAAGACGUUGAUAGGCUGGGUGUGUAAGCGUAGUGAUACGUUGAGCUAACCAGUACUAAUGAACCGUGAGGCUUAACCUG